UUACCUAUAAUAACAAUAAGACUCUAACUUGUCGGUACAUUUUAAGAUAUUAUCUCCCUGGAAACGCUACCUUUACAAAACAUUUUAUGGUCAACAAAUAUGGUAAAUACAUUUGUGUAUUUGUAUUACUGAUACAGUAUUAUGAAUGUGUUACUGGAACAACGGUGUUAACAUUGAUGAACUGUUAACGUCAACGAUUUAAGCAUUUGGAUUUGAGUUUGUACUCCUCAAUAUUGUAUAUGGUUUAUUGAUACAUUCAGUGACAAUUCUGAAAUGUGUUACUAAAUAUUAAAUUUUGAAUUUUUU
rnacentral:lncRNA from 1 species